rnacentral:lncRNA from 1 species
UGAAACAAACAUAAGGCUGGCACUAUAGCCAACCUUGUUUUUUAGUUCUCUUUACGCUGCUGUAGCGGAGGCAUUUUUCUUAGUAGCUACCAAGCAAUAAAGCUACCUGCAUCGCAACAAAGGAUCAGCCUUUUAGAAACCAUAUACAAGAUCUAAAAUCAAAGGGAACUGUAGAUACUCUCCAAAAAGGUAACAUAAAUCUAUGACCAAACCUAAGAAAAUUCUAGAUUGCUGAAAAUUACCCUACAGGAAGUGCCAACUAAUGAUCCUGUAAUUCUAUUUUUCGAACUUCAGCACAAAAUGGUAAGAAAGAUAAAAUACGAGCCUGUUUUAUAGCAACAUAAUAAUAAUACCUCAGUUCAAAAUAAACAUAUCAGCACAUGGGGAAAGAGGAAAACAAACACUAAGCUUGCAAUAUAGUUACAUAUAGUAUUAUUAUUUCAUUUGGGAACGAAGUUGGACUAAUUUGGAUACAUUGGGAAAUUUACUUUAUACCUACUAUUCCAUCUGGUUUUUGAUUUCUAGUUUAAUUUUAUUUGUAGCUAUGAUUGGAGCUAUAGUACUGACUAUGCAUAGCAACAGGUCCAAAGGCAUCUACAACUAGGAACUGAACCCAAGGGAAAUACCUACAAGCAGUCUUGGAGCAGGGACACUUGGAAAAUUGGAACUGGUCCUGCAAACCCAGAAGAUGCAACAAUAAAAAUGGCAUCAAUAUUCGUAAAUAGAAGUACAAUUACUAACUUUCGGUUGUAUGUAACAAGAUUUUGUAUGUAAGGAGUAAAGAAGAGGAAUGAAAUGAGGAAUGGACAUUACCAGCCACAAACAACAAGAAGAGGAGACAACAUAAUGAGUAAGAGGUCUUCAAACCUAAAACAUUCCAGUCCACUCUUUAUUCACAUUGGAAACAAACCUAAGUUUAGAUGAACUUUUGAAGCAAAAAAACAAUGACCUUUGCUAUAUUCCACCUGAGCGGGAAGAACAACAAUGCACAUAAUUGUACUCAAAAGUCAAAGAAAAAGGAGAACAAAAAUGAUCAUAGACAAGCAAAGUGUUUGAUAAUAUAAUCUUUAGAAAUAGGGGCCGGUGCUCAGAAACAACAGUUCGUAAUUUGACAUCAGAAGCAACGGACAAAGACAGUGAUCACAAGCCUAGAAUGAAGAAGAACAUAUUUACCACUUCAUAGACAGUAAGCACAAUCUUAGACUGCACAAUUAUGUGAUUAUUGACAUCAUAGACAAUUAUCAUAAGCACGUCUGACUGGAAAACCAAAGCCGAUGACCAAAGUAGAGAGUGGAGGAAAUCAUCAUAGGCAACACCAUCAGAAGCUAACUCCAAUGGCAAGCUAUCUGACCUAAUAAGCAAAGCGAGUAGGCAAUGAAUACUAUAUCUCACUAACUAGGAUCUACCAUGGCUACGGCCAAGGGGUGGCCAAACCCAGCGGCUUUGCACAAAGAGAUGCCCAAAAUAGAAUAAACAUUACUCAUGAUCAUUGCCUCAGCCAUGAAUAUAGCACAU